GUGCUAAAGCUUGGAGUGGCCUGUAGGCUCCCAGCCCCCUGGUCAUGUGGAACUCAGAGCCACAGGCUGCCCCUGGUGUCACAGGCAGGCCCAUCCUUAGCAGAUCUUGGCCUCUUGCAUCUCUGCAGAGGUGAGGCUCCCCUGUUUCCUAAGUGUGAACCUUUAUGUCUAAUACCAGACUUUCUAGAAACCCAAAUGUCCCCUCAGCUUUCCCCCCUGGGAUUUCCACCAGCACCCCAAACCCUAUUACAGCCCCUUGAGGAAGUUUACCUGGUUGUUUCAUUCCAGAUGGGAUCCCCUGGCUGCAACAUCCUGGGGAGGUGGUUUGGAUAGCUCCUGCCUCUCUCCCCAGCACAGAGCAGCUGCCCCAAGCUCAGCCUCACCCUUACACAGCCGGAGUCCUUCUCCAUCCCUCUGCAGAUCCUCUACCCCGCCCUUCGAGCCCAUUUCAGAAGUGGAAGUCAAUGGCCCUUGGUCAGGAAAGCCCCAGUCCUCUCCACAAGGAAAACAAGGCCAGAGAGACUGAGAUAGCCUGGAUGGAGCUGUCCCUGCAUGGUCUGACUCAUGGAGACCCUUUCCUGAGGGGGCCUUAGCAGGGCAGGCUUCGCCAUGCUGUUCCUGGGAGAAGACAGUCAGAGCUGCAUCUGUCACCCCCCACCACCUAUGAGCCACCAAGGGGAGGAGGACACUACUGUGCUUGCCCCUGCGCAUAAGGCUCCAAUGAUCAGGGCCAGGCACAGACCUCCUCCCUCUGACUCCUGAUCCCCACUGGGAGACUCUGGAUGAGGCAGCCCAGCAGGCCCAGCUCCCUCUACUCCCUGGCCUUGGCCGAGUUCCAGAUCACUCUCAACCACGUAUUUUCAAAAUCCUUUGUGCCGGAACAUGGCCAGUAUGCAAAUUAAGCGAGGACUUGGAGUUUGCAGCUUACACGUGUGAUUACCAGGGCUCUGCAGGUGGAGUUUGCUGGCGAAAGAGCCUAUGCAUGAGGAACCUUUCCAUCAAGCAGCAUUCAAGUGAGUUUCCCAGAAUGCAGCUUGUCCUCUCCAGGGAUGGAGGAAUUGUUUCUACCCGCUUUCAACACAGAAGACCUGGGGGUUUAUGGGAGACCAGGAGGACCUCAUCACUGGCUUAUUCCUUCCUUCAUUCCUUGAAACAGUUAUCCCUAUUAUUAUCUUUUAGGAUUUAUCUAGGGAGAUAA
rnacentral:lncRNA from 1 species